rnacentral:lncRNA from 1 species
UUCAAGAAAAAAAAUUCAGGGGAAAUAUUAGGAAGAUAUAACAGUUUUUAAGUUAGUACUUAUCUAACGAUAUGGCUCAAAAGUGGGGAAACAUUCACAAAUCUCAAAGUAGUUGAAAGAUUUUUGACACCUCUCUCAGUAAUUAACAGUGCAAGCAGACUAAAAAUGAGUAAAGAUAUGGUUUAAAAUCAUUUAAAAAUAUGAUUCACAAGCAAUCUAAUGGAUAUACAUGUACUAUUAUAUCAAGAAUACAUAUGCUCUUUCAAACACACAUGAAACAUUUUUCAGAAAUUGACUAUGUGCUGAGCCAUAAGGUAAAUCUCAACAAUUUAAAAGGAUGGAAAUCAGGGUAAUUCUGUCAUGCAUUUAAAUGAGAAAUUAAUAAGAAAGAUUACUAGGACAUUCCCAUUAUAUUCAGAAAUGGACAAAUACAUGAAUAAAUCAUGGUUCAUAGAUAAAAAAUAUUUUAACUGAAUGAUAAUAAAAAUGCCACAUACCCAAACAGUGGGAAGAUGCUUAAGCAGUGCUUAGAAAUUUAUAGCUUAAAAAUAUUUUUAGAAUAUCAAAAACUUGGUAAUCACCUAAGCACCACUCAAAAGGUUAAAACAAAUCCCCCCCAAAAAUGUUAAAAAGUAAUAAAAAGCAGAAAUUAACAAAAUAGAAAAAAUAGGAUUAACAAAUCCAUAUGUAUGUUUCUUUAGGAAGACUACAAAAUUGACAUAACUCUCAUGAGACUGAUCAAGAAAAAAAAGAGAAAGCACAAAUAACCAAAGUCAGGAAUAAAAAGUAGGGGGAAAUAUACAGCAGGGUAAAAUUUCCUUCUCUGAACAUACACUGACUCCCUUGCUCCCUGAAACUAAGAGAAUACCUCACUUCCUCUAAAUUCCUUGAGUCAACAAUUCUGAGAACAGGAUGUAACCGUCUAAGAUGAGCCAAAUCACAAAGAAACAGCUCAUUUUUGUAAAAUUACAAUGCCUAUACCUCACCAAUGCUCACCAAAACCAUAGUGUGCACUGUUGCUUGUGUUUCUUAAAAACUCAUUCUGGGGCUGGGUUUGUG